AAGUUAUUAUUUUUUAUUACAAACCUCGUUGGGGAUGUAAAUGCAAUUUACACCCGUUAGGGAUGUUCACUCAUCAUUCGCCCGCUAAAACACUUCUCAAUCCUCUGGAAAACCUAAAUCUUAUUUUCAAUUCCAUUCCAAAGAUUUUUGUCUGCCUCCAAUUCGCCAUUGUUAGCUGUCUCUCUCUCUCUCUCUCUCUGUAGCUCUGUCUGUGCUUCUCUGUUCUUUUUUUAGUUGGCCCAUCAAAUAGUUUCUUUUUUUAUUAAUAGGGUUCUCUGUUGUUUUAGGAAUUACUAUGUUGGGAUUGGGUUUUGGUGUUGUGUGAUUUGUGAUGCUUGAAGGACAUAACAACAACUAUAUAAUUAUGUGGAAUUACAGGUCUUUGUCAUGGGAAAUUUUUUAAUGUUAGUUAAGUGUGGUAUCAUAACUAUUGGUUGUUUGAUUAAACAAGAGAAAAUAACUUUUGGGUUGUUUGUGACAAAGUAGUAUGCUGCUAUAUCUCUCGUAAUUUGCUAUAUAGAAUGCAAACUGGUAUAUAUUUCGGCAAUUGCUUGUGUUGUGAUGCAUAUUUUGCUUUUUACAAUGAGUGCUCUAGAAAUUAUAUUGCAUUUUUCUUAAUGUUAAUGGAAUUAUGGAACCCAAACUUCAAAUAUUUCCAAAAUGGGUUGAUCUGUUUUACAUUUCUUUUCAUGGGUCUGGUUUUUAUUUGUUUGCUUUAUGUCUUCCCAAUUAAGACAGAAUCUGUUCCUUUACUUCCUUCUAAAGUCCAAGGAAAUGACGGACACAAAUCUACUUAUUAAACUGUUCAAAUUCUCUUUUGAAGACAUUUCUUUCUACUAUUGUUAUUGCUAUUAAUCAAUAGCCUCUGCAAAUACACAAUGUCCAACAUGUGAGUGAUUUCAUCUAAAAAUUUAUUUUUGAACUCGUGCAUGCUUACUGACUGGACUAGUCAUUGACUCUGGUGAUGGUGUCACUCAUGUGGUAAAUCAUUCAAACCAUUUGUGUAAUAUGAUUUUGAAGUAUCAAGAGGUCUUUCUUGUUUUUUAUUCGUAGUUACCCCUGUUUUUAUUCAAUUAAACCUUUGGUUGCCAGCAUUCUUGCAAAUGAAAUCCUCACAUAAUUGUUUAUUGUCAAAUAUAACUUAAAAUUUAAUUUUGGUACGGUAUUCUGUGAUAUAGGUCCUUGUGGACUUUCCUAAAUCGUUGUGUUUUUAAGGAUUUGCCUUUUGAUUUGUGCAAUGACUUCUUUCUAAAAGUAAAUUUGUUGCUUCCAAGUUAUAGAAAACAAAAAUGAAAUGAUUCCACUCCAUGGGAUGUUCAAAUGUGACUUGAGUGUUUUCCUAUGAUUUGUAUUGUGUGGCAUCUAACUUGGAUGCUUCUUGACAACUCUGAAGUUUACUCAUCUUUAAGUAAGACUAAUUGCAUGAUCUUCUUAAUCUUAAUAGGUAUAUAUAAAUAUAUAUAUAUUUUAAUUAAGUGUCUACAUAUAAUCUUUAUGUAAAGAUGUUCAUUUUGUGUGAUCCAUGAAGUUGGUAAUCACAAAGCAAUUCAAAAAUUUGUGUGCUUGCAUCCUCAGAUUUGUUGGCUGUAUUAACUUGGUUGGUAACGCAUUUCACCAUUUGAUAAAUUUAGAAUUGGACUAUUAGUGCCAUUGUUGACAAAUCUGGUAUAGAAUUAUUAGUAAGUGGGAGGAGCUAUUAUUUCUAUGACCCUCGAUAGGGAAUCACUACUUGGGGAAUAUAAUUACUUGAAUCUUCUCUCUGGGUCUUCUCUCCAGGUUCCAGUUGUUGAUGGCUACUCAUUCCCACAUCUUACAAAACGAAUGAAUGUAGCUAGAUGACACAUAACAUCUUAUCUUGUUGAUUUGCUUCUGCGUAGAGGGUAUAGGCCAACAUCUUUCUAAACAGAGUUAGUAAGAUUAGUAUCAUUUUUGUCAUACCUAUUCUUCACAGUAAUUACUUUUGUUUUGAUUGGAAUACAAACUUCUUUCCUAAAGGUAUGAGAUGAAUAGGACUGUUGACUUUGAGACUAGUGGGGAUAUCAAAGAGAAGCUUUGCUACAUAAGAUGAGCAAAUAACAUCAUUGUUUGGUAUGCUUUUAUGGAAUUUUUUUCAUUACAAUUUUGCAAUUUAUUAGAUCUGUUUCCUUGCGGUUAUGAUUACAGGAGGGGAUAUCGAUUGAGACUUGAGACUACCAUCCUUGUUAAGAAUUAUACUUUACAAGAUGGAAGGGUCAUCAAAGUUGGCACAAAACGGUUCCAAGUUCCAGAGGCUCUUUUUACUCCUUUAUAUUUCCAAGAAUCAAUAUAAGGGACCCUUAUAAACGGCUUGGAAUAAGUAGGGAAGCUUUUGAAGACGAAAUCAAAGCUGCUAGGAAUUUCCUAAUACAAAGAUAUGGAGGACACAAGCGAAGUGUUGAUGUAAUUAAAUCAGCCCAUAAUGGUGCACUCACAAGAAGAUAUUUGGAUAAAUUUUGUAUAUUUUUAGAACUUAAUGAUAGUUUUUUUUGGAUGAUUUA